AUUAAGAUGGCAGAUUAGUGUGAAGAAUUUAAGAUUCUUUUAGGAAAAUAUUUUAUUUUCUCUUAAUA
rnacentral:tRNA from 1 species